CGCUGGCGGCGUGCCUAAUACAUGCAAGUCGAACGGUCUUUCUAUGGAAGCUUGCUUCCACUGAGAAGAUAGUGGCGAACGGGUGAGUAACACGUGGGUAACCUGCCCAUAAGAGGGGGAUAACAUCCGGAAACGGGUGCUAAUACCGCAUAGUUUUUCUUGAUCGCAUGAUUGAGAAAGGAAAGACGGCCUUUGUGCUGUCGCUUAUGGAUGGACCCGCGGCGUAUUAGUUAGUUGGUGAGGUAAUGGCUCACCAAGACGAUGAUACGUAGCCGACCUGAGAGGGUGAUCGGCCACAUUGGGACUGAGACACGGCCCAAACUCCUACGGGAGGCAGCAGUAGGGAAUCUUCCGCAAUGGACGAAAGUCUGACGGAGCAACGCCGCGUGAGUGAAGAAAAGGUUUUCGGAUCGUAAAACUCUGUUGUCAGAGAAGAACAAGUUGGAGAGUAACUGCUCCAGCCUUGACGGUAUCUGACCAGAAAGCCACGGCUAACUACGUGCCAGCCGCCGC
rnacentral:rRNA from 1 species